AGACUAGAAGAAGUUUCUGCUGAACGUCAGAAAUGCAAAGCAACCUUACGUCAGAAGUCACGCGAAAUAAUCGAACUGGCCAGCAGGUAAUUUACUCUGAGUGUAUAUCCACAUCGAGCAAGCUUGAAAAAUAUGCCUGACCACGGUGGAAAUCGAACCUACGACCUUUAGAAUACUAGCCCAAUGCUCUGCCAACUGAGCUACGCGGUCAGAUCGGUUCGAGCAUGUGAUAUUUCGGAACAGAAUCUAGUUCCUUCGAUAUCAAUGUAAUCUGAUAAUCAGUAACGAUUUUUCUGUGUUGGUGUAAUGUACUCAGGUGAAUAUCCACCUGAGUACAUUACAUCAACACAGAAAAAUCAUUACUGAUUAUCAGACAAGAGUUCAUGAGGCAAAUACAGAACUUGCAGAAACAUUAGAAUCUCAACGUGAUGAAAUAACUAGUCAAGAGAAAAGGUAUUGUUUCGCUUGAAUAUUUGUGUCGAUGCAUAUGGACGAUGCCAGGCUUCGCUUGCACUAGGGAAUGUGAAGGUUAGACCACUAUGUUGAACGCAUUAAAUCGUUUCUUCUUGUAGAGUGGCAGAGGUAAUGUCGUUUGCAAAAGAAGAAAAAAGAAAAUAUUCCGAAACUAUCCGUGAAAAAGACAGAAGAGUUAAAGAGCUUGGGCGAUGGUAUAUAGAUUAAUUUAUCG